UGAAACCUUCGGACCAUUGUGAAUUUUUGCUGCGGUGUUACAACUAACAUCUGUAUCACCGGGUGAAAAUUCGCAAUGGUCCGAUGGGUAUUCA
rnacentral:pre_miRNA from 1 species